rnacentral:rRNA from 1 species
AUUGGACGCUGGCGGCAUGCUUUACACAUGCAAGUCGAACGGUAACAGGUUAAGCUGACGAGUGGCGAACGGGUGAGUAAUGCAUCGGAACGUGCCCGAUCGUGGGGGAUAACGCAGCGAAAGCUGCGCUAAUACCGCAUACGAUCUGAGGAUGAAAGCGGGGGACCGUAAGGCCUCGCGCGAUCGGAGCGGCCGAUGUCAGAUUAGGUAGUUGGUGGGGUAAAGGCUCACCAAGCCAACGAUCUGUAGCUGGUCUGAGAGGACGACCAGCCACACUGGGACUGAGACACGGCCCAGACUCCUACGGGAGGCAGCAGUGGGGAAUUUUGGACAAUGGGCGAAAGCCUGAUCCAGCAAUGCCGCGUGCAGGAAGAAGGCCUUCGGGUUGUAAACUGCUUUUGUACGGAGCGAAAAGGCUCUCUCUAAUACAGGGGGCUCAUGACGGUACCGUAAGAAUAAGCACCGGCUAACUACGUGCCAGCAGCCGCUGUAA